ACUAUAGUUUGGUAUUGGUGAUUGGGACGGUUUGUGUAGGAUAGGUGGGAGACUGUGAAGCAGGCACGCUAGUGUGUGUGGAGUCGUUGUUGAAAUACCACUCUGAUCGUAUUGGACGUCUAACCUCGGCCCAUGAUCUGGGUUAGGGACAGUGCCUGGUGGGUAGUUUAACUGGGGCGGUUGCCUCCUAAAGAGUAACGGAGGCGCCCAAAGGUUCCCUCAGCCUGGUUGGCAAUCAGGUGUCGAGUGUAAGUGCACAAGGGAGCUUGACUGUGAGACUGACACGUCGAGCAGGGACGAAAGUCGGGACUAGUGAUCCGGCACCGGCAUGUGGAAGCGGUGUCGCUCAACGGAUAAAAGGUACCCCGGGGAUAACAGGCUGAUCUUCCCCAAGAGUCCAUAUCGACGGGAUGGUUUGGCACCUCGAUGUCGGCUCGUCGCAUCCUGGGGCUG
rnacentral:rRNA from 1 species